AAUAUCACGAUAAAAAGUAUCAUAUUUCAAUAUUCGUCAAAGUCGACUAGAAAUCAUUUCACUUGAAAUCUUUCAUUUCAUUGGGCCCUUGACCCACCUACUAUGCACCGGAUAGAGCUCUGCAUAAUAUCAAUAUCAAUAAUCAAGUGGCCAAUAUGAAAUCGACACCGGCGAGUGGACCAUCCUCUCAUGACCACUAGAGGCCCAUCCCCUAACUACCCCUAUGAUCACCCAAGAAGUCUCCCACCCGACAGCGCCAAUAAUCAUAACAAGGGCAUAGUCGAGUGGUCCGCCCUCCCGUGAUCACCAAAGGCCCAUCCCCUGUCUACCUUUGCAAUCACCCAGGAAGUAACACCCGCAAUGCCAAACAUAUCACAUAAGCAUGCCUCACAUGCCUCGGUGCCCUAGUAGUGGUCAAUAAAACAUUUAUAAAGAAAACUCACUUUGAAAUCAUGUUUCGCAUGCAAGAUUUUCAACCAUAAUCACAUGUCGUGCAUGCAUAUGAAAAUGCUCAUGAAUGACAUAUUUAAUGCAAAUUACUGUCUAUAGGUUAAGCAACCUCAUACUCAAUGAUCGUAACCACCAUAUGGUGUGCUAUAAGCCUCUUAUCAAAGUUAUGUAGAUAUCUCAACAUUACAAUGUCACAUAUACUAGGUUCUUGCAUCGUAGUUGCAAAUGGAUUUUCACUUACCUUUCGCCUUUAUGUGUGUAAGCUCCUAUGGAGUGUGUAUCAAUUCCCUUUUUCGCUCAACGUCGAAAAGUCACCUCAAAACUGUGGAGUAACAAAGCUGUUCAGAAAUUCCAGCUUCUUGCUUCUAAUUCUCUUUGGCUGUUUCACCCUCUUUUCACUUGGAAUCACUUAGGGACGAGUUCAGGGAGCUAAUAUAUUAUCUAGGAGGUAAAUGAGUGGUCUUUAAAUAGUUGAAGUCGUG
rnacentral:lncRNA from 1 species